rnacentral:lncRNA from 1 species
AUUUCUUGCUAGGCCAGCAGGAGCCAGGCCGUGGCCUGCUGACUGCAUCUGCCAGAUGACUACCAAUGUUUUUAUAGAUUGAGAGGAACUACGCUCAAGGAGCCUCAUGCAUACCUGGACCUGAUUUAAAUGAUGAGAUGCUGGACUUCAAGCAGAUGCUGUAAUGAUAUGAGGUUCUCAGGGACCUUGGGAAAUAGUAAAUGUAUUUUGUGUGUGAGAGGGACACAAAUCAUUGGAGGCCAAAAGGGUGAACUGAGGACAGAUGCUAGGGUAGCUCCCACAAUCCCCACCUCCUGGUUUCACCCUUGUGGGAUCUCGCCAUGAGUGUGGAUGGAACCUGUGAUUUGCUUCUAACUAGUAGAAUUUGGCAAAAAAUGAUGAGAUAUAUGUGAUUAUGUUUACAUGAUUAUAUUAUAUAAGAUUCUGAGUACAUUGAGCUGCAUAGAGAGAGCACGGGGGCAAGUGAGAGCCAGGUGGGUACUGGAAAGCUCUGUGCCUCACUGAGGAAAAAUAACUAAACAUGGGCAAAAGAGAUCCAUGGAACCUGAGAGGCAAGGUGUUAUUAUAUGCAUUCUUUGGCAAACUUGUCAGGAGGCGCAUAAGAAGAAGCACCCAGAUGGUUCAGUCAACUUCUCAGUUUUCUAGGAAGUGCUCAGAGAGGUGCAAGACCAUGUCUGCUAAAGAGAAAGGGAAAUUUGAAGACAUGGCAAAGGCGAACAAGGCUCGUUAUGAAAGACAGAUGAAAACCUAUAUCCCUCCUAAAGAUCCCCUUUAGGACGAAAAAGUAGUUCAAGGAUCCCAAUGCACCCAAGAGGCAUUCUUUGGCUGUUUUCUUGUUCUGUUCUGAGUAUUGCCCGAAAAUCAAAGGAGAACAUCCUGGCCUAUCCAUUGGUGAGUUGUAAAGAAAUUGGAAGAGAUGUGGAAGGGCACUGCCUCAGAUGAUAAGCAGCCUUAUGAAAAGAAGGCUGUGAAGCUGAAGGAAAAAUAUGAAAAGGAUAUUGCCUCAUACUGAGCUAAAGGAAAGCCUGAUGCAGCAAAAAAGGGAGUUGUCACGGCUAAAAAAAGCAAAAAAAGGAAGAAGAGGAAGAUGAAGAUGAUGAUGAUGAUGAUAAUGAGAGAUUCUCUCUCCCUUGCUGUCUUUGAAAAAGCAAGUUGCCAUGUGAAGAGGGCCAUAUAGCAUAGGAGCUGAAGGCAGCCUCCAACUGACGGCAAGAAAAUGAGGUCCUCAGUCUGACAACCUGCAAGAAACUGAAUGUUCUAAAAGCCACAUGAGCUUGGGAGCAGAUCUGACCCCAGCCAAAUCUCUGAAGUCCGCAGGCAGGAAAUGAAGAUCAGAAAAAGGCUAUUGUCUCAUGAAUAUGAGCCAGACUCCACAGAAGCUGGAGUCCUUCAUUAUGGAGCUAAACACAUACACCUGGCUUAGGAGUCAGAAAAACUGAAAGAGAAUUCAGGGAAGUAGAGAAAUUGCAAGCCCAGAUGCUGCUUCAUACCAAAGAAGCAAGUCAGCAGGUCAGCAACAAUGUGUAUCAGUUCCAAAAUGACUUACACAGGUACCAAGACAAGACAUUAUAUACACUUAUAUAGUCAAAUACUUUAAAACUGUUAACAAACUUGCUACAAUUGUCUCAUUUGUCUUUUAACCUUAAUAUCACAGAUCAAGUUUGUAAUCUCAAAAGUUCACCCUGGCUGCUGUGUGGAGUAUUCUCUUAUCUGCUCAUAUUACACUGUGCUUAUUCAUUCAUCAGUUAAUGGAAAUUUGGGUUGUUUCCUGAUUUUGACUGUAAUGAAUAAUGUUGCUGUAAACAUUCAUGUACAGUUUUGUGUGGACAUGCUUUUCUUUCUCUUGGGUAGGUUCCUAUGAGUGGAAUCACUAGAUUGUAUGGUAAAUGUAUGUUUAACUUUUAAAGAAACUGUCAAACUGUUUUCUAACAUGAACGGGCCAUUUUACGUUCUUAUCAACAAUAUAUGAUGGUUUCAAUUUUCCCAC